rnacentral:lncRNA from 1 species
ACAAGGUUUAUGACCAUAAAAGGAAGGUUGGGAUUGAUUUUGGGUGUUUUGGUCAUAACAGUGUAGGAAUUAGGGACCAAAAAGGGCCCAAAUAAGCAUUUUUCUUGGUUUUCGCACAAUAACUUAAGAAUAAGUAAACAGAAAUCUAUGAAAUUUUAACAUAAGGUCUAUUACCACAAAAGAAAGGUUGGGAUUGAUUUUGGGAGUUUAAGUCCCAACAGUUUAGGAAUUAGGGGCCAAAAACAGG